GUCUAAGGCCAUACCAGCCCAAACAUGCCCGAUCUCAUCUGAUCUCGGAAGCAAAGCAGGGUCGGACCUGGUUAGUACUUGGAUGGAAGGAUAUAUCCCCAGGAAAGGAACUGCAGGGUCAUGGGUU
ensembl:rRNA 5S_rRNA 5S ribosomal RNA